AUUGAUCCAGAGAAAUAAAUCCCUGAAGUGCUGAUGGCUCUGGGGGAGGCGGUGGGGAAGGGGAUUUGAGAAGUGGAGACAAGAUUCCACUCACAAGCCUUACGGUCAGAUUUUUCUGGGUUAGACUUCUUCCUCUGUCACUUGUUAGCAGUAUAACUCUGGGCAGGUGGCUUCUUUCCAGCCUCUCUUUCUCUACCUGAUAAAUGGGAAUAACAAUCAGGCUGUCUUCAGAGUGCGAGAAUUUAGGGAGAUAACAGCCCCAAGCCACGAGCUGAGUCUAGCUCAAAAAACAAGGUCAUGGUGAAGAUACGGUCGUUUUGAAACCCCAGUGAAGUUCAGGGGCCAGAGCAGAGUGGUAAUCACUCCGGUUUUGGCUCAUCUUCCUUCUCUGCGGCCUUCAACUUCAAGGCCAGGGGGCUGUCCCGGCCUCUCUGACUUCCUCUCAUGCAAAUCGCCCCAGUCGGGUGGGGGUGGAGGGCUGGCUCACCCAGAGGAGGGAAGUGAUGAACUCCGACCUCCCCAGACCUACUUUCUACCUCCAAGGCGAGCCUGGGAGACAGGUCCCCCCUGAACCCCGUCACCGCAGCCUCUGCAAGGACCUGCCUUGUUGUUUGAUGCUCAGUCAUGUCCGACUCUCUGUAACCCCAUGGACUGUAGCCACCAGGUUCCUCUGUCAGUGGGAUUCUCCAGACAAGAACACUGGAGUGGGUUGCCAUUUCCUCCUCCAGGGGAUCUUCCCAGUCCAGGGAUCAAACCUGGUCUCCUGCGUUGCAGGCGGCUUCUUUAUCGUCUGAGUCACCAGUGAAGACUUGAAUUAGCCACCCUUCUGAGUUCCCCCGACCCCGAUAAUUAUGAACUCCUGAGUGGACAGUCACAGACUCUGGGUAAUUAAAUUAUUAAAAUAAUAAGCCUGAA
ensembl:lncRNA